UGUUUAGUUUGGUAUUUAAAUAUAAGGAUGUAAUAGAAAACAAAAAAACUGAUGGCACCACAAAUGAUCAAAAAAUGCAAAUGUGGAUGCGUAUUGAACGGGAAUUUAAUGCAACUUGUCUUGAUGGACGGUAUAGGACGGCAAAUUCACUUAAAAAAUUUUACACUAAUAAAAAACUGCAUAUAAGGAAGGUAGUUGCAGAAGAUAGAAAAGAGCGUUACAUAACAGGUGGAGGGCCCGAGAAAAAAUUAAACACCCCGAACAUGGAUUUAAUUUUAUCAAUCGUGAAUGACAAAACCAUUCAUGGGCUCACAAAUGAAUUUGAUAGCGAUUCGGGCAACUUACCAACUAUUAAAAAUACAUCAGUAUAUAUUAAUAAUAAAAAGUAUGUAAAUAUACAGUAUACUUAAUCUGUCCCUUUAUUAUGCAGACAAUGUCAAAAACACCAUUGCUGGAGCACUUUAUGGCCGAUAACUCUGUAGAAGUUAUUGCUGAGACUGAUGAGGACUCCGAAAAUGAUUAUAUGCCAGUAUACAAAGGUGCAACUGGCAGUGGAAUGGUGGAACCUCUACAAGAA